UUGACUUUGCCACAAUGCUGCUUGGAUCAGCAGACAAAGACUUGGUGCUUUCUAGCCCGGAGUCGGUUAACUCUAGCAGGCGUCGUACGGCCGAGGUGUAUGACCCCAAAAGGAAGCAGGUCGUCGCAGAUCAAGGUGCUCUAUCUUUCAAGGCUACCGUCGAUUGUGGUACACCAAAUCCCAUCCUCUCAAACAGCUCAUCGAAAGAGGAUGAUGGAUAGAAGGCAGGAAUAGCGGGGUCGUCGCUCUUCCAAAGAGCCCCCC
rnacentral:lncRNA from 1 species